rnacentral:rRNA from 1 species
GGGUCAGUAGGUUGGUCGUGCCACCGGUACGUACUGGUCCCACUGAUUCCUCCUUCCUGAAGAACCGUAAUGCCAUUAAUUCGGUGUUGCGGGGAAACAGGACUGUUACUUUGAAAAAAUUAGAGUGUUUAAAGCAAGCUAACGCUUGAAUACAUUAGCAUGGAAUAAUGAAAUAGGACGAUCGAUCCUAUUUUGUUGGUUUCUAGGAUUGACGUA